rnacentral:lncRNA from 1 species
UCAAUGCUGAAAGGUCGAUGUGUUGUACUGGUGAAUCAGGGUUUUAAUGAAGUGGGUGUGAUUACUCUUGACUGUUUUGUGAAAUCAAAGUUACGUCUAUGAUUGAAGAAUUAAAAGGAUGUCUAUAGGAUUGAGUAUGCGGAGUGAAUGAAAUUUUUUGGGUUAAUCUAACAAGACAGUCAGUGGAUACAAGGUCGUGAGUAUAAAGUGGUAUCGGAGAU